AGACGUCUACAUUAGAUACCCCUGUAGUCCCAGCCGUAAACUAUGCGCGUUAGGUGUAUCGGUGACCACGAGUUACCGAGGUGCCGAAGGGAAACCGUGAAACGUGCCGCCUGGGAAGUACGGUCGCAAGGCUAGAAACUUAAAGGAAUUGGCGGGGAGCACCACAACAGGUGGAGCCUGCGGUUUAAUUGGACUCAACGCCGGGAAGCUCACCGGAUAGGACAGCAGAAUGAUUGCCGGGCUGAAGACCCUGCAUGACUAGCUG
rnacentral:rRNA from 1 species